GGCGACCGGCGCACGGGUGCGUAACGCGUAUGCAACCUACCUGUAACAGAGGGAUAACCUGGAGAAAUUCGGACUAAUACCACAUAACACUACUUGCGGCAUCGCAGGUGGUUGAAAGGGGCGACCCGGUUACAGAUGGGCAUGCGUGACAUUAGGUAGUUGGCGGGGCGACGGCCCACCAAGCCGACGAUGUCUAGGGGAACUGAGAGGUUAAUCCCCCACACUGGUACUGAGACACGGACCAGACUCCUACGGGAGGCAGCAGUGAGGAAUAUUGGUCAAUGGUCGGAAGACUGAACCAGCCAUGCCGCGUGAGGGAAGAAGGCCCUAGUUGGUUGUAAACCUCUUUUACGGGGGAGCAAUAAGCGUCGUGCGCGGCGUGAUGAGAGUACCCUGGGAAUAAGCAUCGGCUAACUCCGUGCCAGCAGCCGCGGUAAUACGGAGGAUGCGAGCGUUAUCCGGAUUUAUUGGGUUUAAAGGGUGCGUANGCGGACCAGUAAGUCAGCGG
rnacentral:rRNA from 1 species